rnacentral:rRNA from 1 species
GACGAACGCUGGCGGCGUGCUUAACACAUGCAAGUCGAACGGAAAGGCCCUGCUUUUGUGGGGUGCUCGAGUGGCGAACGGGUGAGUAACACGUGAGUAACCUGCCCUUGACUUUGGGAUAACUUCAGGAAACUGGGGCUAAUACCGGAUAGGAGCUCCUGCAGCAUGGUGGGGGUUGGAAAGUUUCGGCGGUUGGGGGUGGACUCGCGGCUUAUCAGCUUGUUGGUGGGGUAGUGGCUUACCAAGGCUUUGACGGGUAGCCGGCCUGAGAGGGUGACCGGCCACAUUGGGACUGAGAUACGGCCCAGACUCCUACGGGAGGCAGCAGUGGGGAAUAUUGCACAAUGGGCGGAAGCCUGAUGCAGCAACGCCGCGUGCGGGAUGACGGCCUUCGGGUUGUAAACCGCUUUCGCCUGUGACGAAGCGUGAGUGACGGUAAUGGGUAAAGAAGCACCGGCUAACUACGUG